CAUCUACUACUAGUACUAGACUCUGCACCAACUGUUGCUGUUCAUUUGAAUGAGAAAGAACGAGCAGAGAAAGAAAGACGGCGGUAGCAACAGCAGCAGCAGCAUCUCAAGCAAGCAACAACAACAACAUCAACAAUCAGAAAUGGAAGCACGAAUCACUCGCGUCGUCACGACUGUACGGUAUACAUAUUCAGACAAUGUUGUCGUAGGAGACAACGGCGUUCGACUAACCUUUGUUCGAAUAAAGACAACCAAGCAGUCGUGGUACACAGAUGGGCACUCCACCCUCACAACGAGAAUAACAAGAAAGUACCAUGUUCAGAAUCCAGAACAUGUUGAUGAACUAGCCCCUCCACAACAUGUAACAGUAAGAGCUGUAGCUGAGUUGUACUAUUCAUUGUAAACGAGCAUAUUUCAAUGUGAUGUAGUACUAGUAAUAUUCAUUUUAUAAUGCAAACACGAUAGUAAACGAGCAUACUUCAAUGUGAUGUAGUACUGGCAGUAUUCAUUUUAUAAUGCAUAACGAUAGUAUACGAACAUACUUCAAUGUGGUGUAGUAUUCAUUGUAUAAAACAUUUGCGUAUAAUAAUUAAACUACCUCGUAAAUGAUUUAGAGCAAUACGUGCAUCUGUACAAAAGUAAUUAUCUCGUAGUAAUAGCUAUAUCCAUCAUUAUUAUCUCAUUGUAUAUGAGUAGUUUGUGAUAACAUCACACCAACAUCAAA